rnacentral:lncRNA from 1 species
GUCUGCUCCAAAUCUGUACAUUGAAUCUGCCUGGCCAGUGGGUUCCGCCCCUGAGCCCUGAGGACAGGAAGGGAGACCGGCAGGCACAGCCGGUAAAUCACUGCUGGGCUGAGCUGCCGGGGAGGGGACGGUGGCCGCAGCGGGCUUGGUGCUCGGGGCAGAUGAAGGCCAGGCCUGGCUCCACACGCUCACUGCUCGGCCCUGGGCUCGCGUCCUGCUGGCCCCGUGUGGUGACAGACGCCCCCUUCCUGUGCGGCUGGCCUGCCAGAGGCGCUGGUUUGGACGGAUUUAGAGUCCAGAGGACAAGCAUGGUCCCCGUGGUCGUCCUGCGUCUGCCCCCUGACCAGGUACCUGGUGAGGUUCCCAACUUCGGCGCAUUACGUCUGUGUUCCUGGCUGAUUCCAUGACUGCGUGGACAACGGCAAGAGGACCGUGAGAACACCGGUCUGAUUUUUGAGAACAGAAUGGAGAAAAGAAAGAGACGCUGUCCACCUUGGACGUCCUCCUCUUCACCUCCCCAGCGUGGCCAGCCUGGCACCUGAAGCACCGGCCCAUUUUCCUCUGAUCUAAUUGAAAAAAGUGAGUCGUCAGCUGAAUCAUCUUUACUCAUUUUUAUCCUUGUGGCUACUUGUAAAAUUUUUCCUUAUUAAAUUUCUUUUGUCGGACAGAAU